AUAAAGCAGCAUUUAGCAUGACUUCAGCUCAUUUAACAUAAUUUUGGUUCAUUUUCCUCUUUCGACAAUGAUAAGCAAUCACCUAGGAAUCUUAAAACUUGCUAAAGUGAAGCCUUUGAAGACUAUAAAGGCCAACCAGACAUCCAGAAGCAAAUUAGUACAUUUUAAAAUUUAGGUGCAUCAAUCAGUAUGAUCUAUUUGAACUAGAAGUCAAAAUUAAAUUAUAUCCAGUAUCCUGUCUGACAAGAUGACACUUGGCACUUUCUUUUCCUUUGCUUCAACUAAUGUAGGUAAAUGGGAAAAUGGCAUUAACAAAAUCAUCUAUCAAGAUGCUAUUGGUGGAAGAUAUGACAUAUGGUCUGCUGUUACUCAUUAAUCUUCCUGGACAUUACAGAGUUUGUAACACGUAGCAGUUUGUAAGGUUCUAACUAUAUCUGUUACUCCAAUGUUGCCUAACAAUCUAGUGGUGGCUUCAACAUGGCAACUCAUCAUAAUAAUCUAAGGAGAUUGCAGUCCACAUCCUCUCCCAAACACCCUCAGCUAUGUACCACAGAUCAGAAAUGUAUAACGUAAAGAGGGGCAUGUCAGUAAAAGACUGAAAAUACUAAACAUACAUUGAGAUUGAGCAGUGCAUAACCAUAUUCCAUUUACCAAAUGAACAAGAAAUAUAUCAUAAGACAGGAAAUCUGCUUGUAUGAAGAUAUCAUACAUCAAGAUCAUCAGUCUUGUAAUUGAAUGUUGAGGAGAUUCUAGGAACCUUGUUGGUUAUCAUGUUCAAGAUCUAGAUGUUAUAUAAGCAUUGUAAAUAUUGUAUUAUUUACAACAUGCAGGUAGUAUUAUUUCUCAUGAAGAGAAACUUUAGUUAUGAUUGUUAAGAUCACCUUCUGAAACACUAGUGAUAGCAAAAUUACAAUGAUCAUUUUUCUCUAUUGUUGUAAGAAUUUCUGCUGUUCUUGUCAUUUGCACUUGCUAUGCAUAUGCAUAGCCUGAAGGUCCUCUAAACCUGGCUCUGUUCCACCUCAACAUGAUGGCUUUUACUCUUUUUAGUGUUUCUAUUUUG
rnacentral:lncRNA from 1 species